rnacentral:rRNA from 1 species
CGUGUAGGCGGCCACCGCAAGUCGACUGUGAAAUCUCCGGGCUUAACUCGGAAAGGUCAGCCGAUACUGCGGGGCUAGAGUGCAGAAGGGGCAACUGGAAUUCUCGGUGUAGCGGUGAAAUGCGUAGAUAUCGAGAGGAACACCUGCGGCGAAGGCGGGUUGCUGGGCUGACACUGACGCUGAAACGCGAAAGCUAGGGGAGCGAACG